CCUACGGGAGGCAGCAGUGGGGAAUAUUGGGCAAUGGGCGCAAGCCUGACCCAGCAACGCCGCGUGAAGGAAGAAGGCUUUCGGGUUGUAAACUUCUUUUCUGAGGGACGAAGAAAGUGACGGUACCUCAGGAAUAAGCCACCGCUAACUACGUGCCAGCAGCCGCGGUAAUACGUAGGUGGCAAGCGUUAUCCGGAUUUAUUGGGUGUAAAGGGCGUGUAGGCGGGAAAGCAAGUCAGAUGUGAAAACUCAGAGCUCAAACCUGAGCCUGCUUUUGAAACUGGUUUUCUUGAGUGAUGGAGAGGCAAACGGAAUUCCGAGUGUAGCGGUGGAAUGCGUAGAUAUACGGAAGAACACCAGUGGCGAAGGCAGAUUACUGGACAGUCACUGACGCUGAGGCGCGAAAGCGUGGGGAGCAAACAGGAUUAGAUACCCGUGUAGUC
rnacentral:rRNA from 1 species